UGGUGAUCCUAACUGACCAAAGACAGGGAUUUUUUUACUAGGAUUAAAUGUCAGGAAAUGUGAAACUUGAGUUUAAAUGUAUUUUGCUAAGGUGUAUGUAAACUUCCGACUUCAACUGUAUAUUGUUGAAAAAGGGGACCGUGUUUUCAGUGAUGAGCUUCAACUGGGUCUUGGGAGAGGGAUGUUUUUUAGGGAGUUGCCUCAGACCCCAGCUAGAACUAUAGAUGUUGUCGACUCACCACAUUUUUGCUCCACUCGGGUGCCUAACGACACACCCUCAGCUCCUUUCAUUAUGCUUAGUGACACUCAGAUAGUUCAGAGGUGGCCAGCCCUGACUUGGGAAAUCUUACCACACAACUCACCCAUCAGAUAGGACAGUCUAUAUCAGCUCAGAUUAGGAAGGAAGGUGAGAGGAAGGAGGAUAGAGGCGCACAUUCUCAGAGCUCCAGUACAGGACAGACAUUCACUGACACACCCUCCCUUCAUUUAUCUGGUAUGAAGUUGGUCGUGCAGUCUGACGUGAGAGAGACUCCAUGUUUCAGAGGGGAGGGGUCUGACAAGUCCUCAGUACAUGAAUGGGAGGAGCUCAUGGACGCUUACCUGAGAAAGAGGAGAGUGCCGGUUAGAACAGCCACAGGAGAUCAUGUCCAAGCUUCUGGGGAGAGGUAGAGACAUCGUAAAGAUAAAACUCCGCAGCAAUACAUCUCUGAAACCUCACGAGAACCCCAAAGUGAUAGAUAUACUGAAAUAACUUUUCAGUGAGUCGACAUAUUCAUCCAUGUCUCUUGCCGAUUUUCUUUUUAUAAUAAUUUGCAAGUACUAGGAGGAAAUGCCAUGAAGUACUGGAUCCGUUUGAAUAAGGCAGUAGAUGUGGCCGAGGAGUGUUUGAGGAGGCAGGGUCGGCACAUCGAGUACUUCAGCCAAGAGUCAUUAAAAGAGAGACAACCGGCAGAAUUGUGUCCAGAGCCUCGUCUUCCACCUACACCUUACAAGAACACAAUGCAGAACGGACAAAUCUAGGCCGUUCCCCUCUACCCUCCCGUAGUCCCCAGGUCAAACAUCUCCUGGUACCGCUUACUGCUGGUUCUGGUCGACUGCAGGAAAACACUGGGGCAGAGUGGAACUGAGAGAGGAGGAGAAGAUAAGGAAGAUGGAGAUUUGAUUUCAUUAACGGUCAGCUCUACCUGUAGCUCUCUCAGUGGGAGGGGCUUAUCAUAAGGGGAGCCUCAACAACAACAUGAUGCUGACAAGUCGUCUCUCCAGAAGAGUCUCUCCAGAUCAGAACGUCUCAAUGAACACCAGCAAAGACUUAUAGGAAGAAACCUCACCACCGCUGCUCUGACUGUGGGAAAAGUUUUGCUAAACAGAGAAAAUUGGUCAUUUACCAGUGGAUUCAUGCUGAAGGGAAGCCUUAUAGUUGUGAUCAGUGUGGGAAGAGUUUUGCUUGAGAUUUCACCGUGACCAAACACCGACUUAUACACACAGGAGAGAGGCCUUAUAGCUGUAAUCAGUGUGGGAAGAGCUUUAAUCAAUCAGCAGCCCUGAGCACACACCAACGCAUACACACUGGAGAGAGACAGGAGUAAGGUGUAUGUGGAAAGAGCUUUGCUCAAUCGGGGUCACUGAAAAAAACACCAGGAAGCACAAACAUGUUUUCUUUCAUCCCUCCUCUUAGGCACCUGUUCAAUAUAUCUAAAUAAAGUUUGAACAGAAAACAUAUUGUAAAGAGUCAGCUCUGGAACCAUAUGUAAUCAAGCUUCUUGGAGUAGGAGUGGUGUGUGUGUGUGGUGGGGUGGGGAUGUUCAGAGCUGUAUCUUACUUCAAUAACUCCUAUUAUCUAUUCAUGAAUUGUGUUUCAACAAUACAAGGUGUGUAUUCAUGUAUUCAAUAGAUCAAUAAAUAUAUUCCAUUAUCUGCUCAACAACGUCUGCUUAUGACAUUAAUUAUGUGUUUUUAAAAAUCGAAUAAUCCAUUUUUAAAAGGACCAUAGUCCUCUUGUAUAAUUAGUUUGCUCCUAAAAGAUGUUCACAUAUUUAUUUUAAAACCUUUCACCAGGUUUUAGUGUAGCUGAUGGGACACAUAGAAGUACAGAAGAUAUAGGACUAUUAGUGUCGUCAAAUUAAGUUGUUGAAUUUAUUUUAAAGGAUUUAAUUUGUGAUAUCUUUGAACUUUCCUUAUUGUGUAUUAAGUGUGCUCCAGAAAGAUGUUCACACAUUUUAUUGUGAAUCGAAUGAUGUGUUGGUUGUUAGGAAGAGGCAUCAUGGGGGCAGGAAGCCAGCUCUGCCCAUCAGUACCUGUAGGUCAACCACAGACCUCACACUCUUCUGUUUCCUCACGGCCAGUAAGGUCUCCUACCAAACCUCUCUCUCUUCACACUGGAAAUACACUUGAUAAUAUCUUAUACCUCAACAUUCUACUGUUUAUUGGUGAUUUGUUAUGUGGAACGAAUGCUUGCAUGUAAAUGUCAUUGUAAAACAUACAUAUGAAUGUGGUUUCAUGUUUUCUUUUACAUUGCUGAUUGGAUAUACAUUUUUUUUUUAAAUAUGUAUUUUUUAAAAAUGUUUAGUUGAAUUCUGUAGAAGAGACCAGGAUAUGUUGUUACCCUGUGUCCCAAUACUCAAUGUUGUAGUCAUGGUCCUGAGAAUAAAACAGGUUUUAAACAAUCAACAGAGAAACACGUGUCUUACAGUGCUACACAUGUCUCUCUUUAUGUUUCUAGGCUGCAGGGAGGGAGAUGCAACAACAG